rnacentral:rRNA from 1 species
AUUGAACGCUGGCGGCAGGCCUAACACAUGCAAGUCGAGCGGAUGAGGGAAGCUUGCUUCCCGAUUUAGCGGCGGACGGGUGAGUAAUGCCUAGGAAUCUGCCUAUUAGUGGGGGAUAACGUUCCGAAAGGAACGCUAAUACCGCAUACGUCCUACGAGAGAAAGUGGGGGAUCUUCGGACCUCACGCUAAUAGAUGAGCCUCGGUCGGAUUAGCUAGUUGGUUAGGUAACGGCUCACCAAGGCGACGAUCCGUAGCUGGUCUGAGAGGAUGAUCAGCCACACUGGAACUGAGACACGGUCCAGACUCCUACGGGAGGCAGCAGUGGGGAAUAUUGGACAAUGGGCGAAAGCCUGAUCCAGCCAUGCCGCGUGUGUGAAGAAGGUCUUCGGAUUGUAAAGCACUUUAAGUUGGGAGGAAGAGUUGUAAGCUAAUAUCUUGCAGCUUUGACGUUACCAACAGAAUAAGCACCGGCUAACUCUGUGCCAGCAGCCGCAGUAACAC